ACGAACGCUGGCGGCGUGCCUAAUACAUGCAAGUAGAACGCUGAAGAGAGGAGCUUGCUCUUCUUGGAUGAGUUGCGAACGGGUGAGUAACGCGUAGGUAACCUGCCUUGUAGCGGGGGAUAACUAUUGGAAACGAUAGCUAAUACCGCAUAACAAUGGAUGACACAUGUCAUUUAUUUGAAAGGGGCAAUUGCUCCACUACAAGAUGGACCUGCGUUGUAUUAGCUAGUAGGUGAGGUAACGGCUCACCUAGGCGACGAUACAUAGCCGACCUGAGAGGGUGAUCGGCCACACUGGGACUGAGACACGGCCCAGACUCCUACGGGAGGCAGCAGUAGGGAAUCUUCGGCAAUGGGGGCAACCCUGACCGAGCAACGCCGCGUGAGUGAAGAAGGUUUUCGGAUCGUAAAGCUCUGUUGUAAGUCAAGAACGAGUGUGAGAGUGGAAAGUUCACACUGUGACGGUAGCUUACCAGAAAGGGACGGCUAACUACGUGCCAGCAGCCGCGGUAAUACGUGGGUCCCGAGCGUUGUCCGGAUUUAUUGGGCGUAAAGCGAGCGCAGGCGGUUUGAUAAGUCUGAAGUUAAAGGCUGUGGCUCAACCAUAGUUCGCUUUGGAAACUGUCAAACUUGAGUGCAGAAGGGGAGAGUGGAAUUCCAUGUGUAGCGGUGAAAUGCGUAGAUAUAUGGAGGAACACCGGUGGCGAAAGCGGCUCUCUGGUCUGUAACUGACGCUGAGGCUCGAAAGCGUGGGGAGCGAACAGGAUUAGAUACCCUGGUAGUCCACGCCGUAAACGAUGAGUGCUAGGUGUUGGAUCCUUUCCGGGAUUCAGUGCCGCAGCUAACGCAUUAAGCACUCCGCCUGGGGAGUACGACCGCAAGGUUGAAACUCAAAGGAAUUGACGGGGGCCCGCACAAGCGGUGGAGCAUGUGGUUUAAUUCGAAGCAACGCGAAGAACCUUACCAGGUCUUGACAUCCCGAUGCUAUUUCUAGAGAUAGAAAGUUACUUCGGUACAUCGGUGACAGGUGGUGCAUGGUUGUCGUCAGCUCGUGUCGUGAGAUGUUGGGUUAAGUCCCGCAACGAGCGCAACCCCUAUUGUUAGUUGCCAUCAUUCAGUUGGGCACUCUAGCGAGACUGCCGGUAAUAAACCGGAGGAAGGUGGGGAUGACGUCAAAUCAUCAUGCCCCUUAUGACCUGGGCUACACACGUGCUACAAUGGUUGGUACAACGAGUUGCGAGUCGGUGACGGCAAGCUAAUCUCUUAAAGCCAAUCUCAGUUCGGAUUGUAGGCUGCAACUCGCCUACAUGAAGUCGGAAUCGCUAGUAAUCGCGGAUCAGCACGCCGCGGUGAAUACGUUCCCGGGCCUUGUACACACCGCCCGUCACACCACGAGAGUUUGUAACACCCGAAGUCGGUGAGGUAACCUUUUGGAGCCAGCCGCCUAAGGUGGGAUAGAUGAUUGGGGUG
rnacentral:rRNA from 1 species